rnacentral:rRNA from 1 species
GGUUUCCUGUGUUGUGUACCAAUUUUAAAGGCAUUGGUUUGGCUAAAAACGUUUCGUCUCCUCUUAGUGCUGCUUACCAUGUGUUUGUGGUGCGAGGGGGAACCAAAAAGCAACUGACGUGUAUCCACUUCUUUUUCGUGCGUGCAUGAAGGGAAUUUGGCCCAUGUCGGCGUGCUCGAUCUCUCGGUUGCGGUGCACAAUUCGGGUAUGAGGCCCCCAAGCCUCUUUUCUACCCAUAAAAUAAGCGUUCUACGCUUCAUGCGAACGACACUCGUUGCCGUUUUGUUCGGGUCCUCGUGACUUGAUUCAUGCGGUGCGGCGUCGAUGAAGGAAUGCUACCUGGUUGAUCCUGCCAGUAGUCAUAUGCGACC